GGAGGACCGAACCCGUGUAAGUUGAAAAUUGCUGGGAUGAGGUGUGGAUAGCGGUGAAAUUCCAAACGAACUUGGAGAUAGCUGGUUCUCUCCGAAAUAGCUUUAGGGCUAGCCUCGGAAUUAGGAUCAUGGAGGUAGAGCACUAUUUGGACUAGGGGCCCGUCUUGGGUUACUGAAUUCAGAUAAACUCCGAAUGCCAUUGAUUCAUAUCCGGGAGUCAGACGAUGAGUGAUAAGAUCCACCGUCGAAAGGGGAACAGCCCAGACCAUCAGUUAAGGUCCCUAAAUGUAUGCUAAGUGGAAAAGGAUGUGGAGUUGCAUAGACAACUAGGAUGUUGGCUCAGAAGCAGCCACCAUUUAAAGAGUGCGUAAUAGCUCACUAGUCGAGUGAUCCUGCGCCGAAAAUGUACCGGGGCUAAGCAUACUACCGAAACCAUGGAUGCGACCAUUAGGUCGCGUGAUAGGAGAGCGUUCUAAGGGCGGUGAAGCAAGAUCGUGAGGACUUGUGGAGCGCUUAGAA
rnacentral:rRNA from 1 species